AGUGCAGGUCUGCAGGAAGGGCCUGCCUCCACUCAUGCAGGUACCUGGGAUCACCUGUCCAUUGGCUACACUGCCCUUUAGGGCCUCCAAAUCCCCAGCUGAAUUAUUCCCAUCCAUCUAGUAGGAAAGGAAAAAAGAAUGUUGAAGGAUCAUGCAAAAUGUUUUAGGGGCCAGUCCUGGACGUAAAAUAUGUUACAUUGGCUAGAAUGCUGUUACACAUUGCCACCUAUUUCAAGAGAUGCUGAGAUUUGGAGUCUUCUUGGGUGCCCAGAGAUUUGAGUAUCACCUAGCACUGUUUCUGCUUCAGUAUAUGCAAUGCAACUUUAUUCUGUUAAAAACAGGAGGUCUAUCAAUAGUUUCUUACCACAAGGGAAAUGGAAGUAGAACUCUGAAGCUAAAUCAGAGGACUCCAAGCAAAUGAAGUGACUGAAAGCAAGAAUGGCUCAUUGCCCUUGAGCUACACAGAAAUGUAUAGGUGGGUGUAUUGGGUCGGUUCCCUGGAAGCACAACCUCAGAUGGGGAUUCUUGUGCAAAAGAUACACGGAGGAAGAGCUCAAGGAAGUAACUUGCAAUGAAGCAAGGGGAGCAAGCUGGAGCAGGAGAAAAGAUCAGGCAAAGGCAUGCUUUCAGAAGUCUAGCCUCGGCCUCAUCCACAGGGAGCUCCAGAGAGUGAAUGGUACCAUGCAGCUGGUCAACCUUCUUGGAGGAGGGAGCUGCUGAUAGCCUUCAGUAGACAGCACUUGCACUAGCCAAGGGAUGAGUGCACCAGCCCAGUGGAGGGGAUCUGGGUAGAGCACCUAUGCCAUCUGCUAUAAUAGGAAGGACAUGCUUUUCCUUUUCGUAUCCUCUACCUGAAGCAAUAUAUCACGUACUCAGCAGACGCUCAAUAAGUGUUUGAGAAAUGAAGAAACAAAAAGACAGAGGGAAGGAGAGAAGAAAAGAAACAAGAUUACAGAAAAUUCUAAAAUACUCUUGGGCUCCAAGAAAUGCAUCUUCAAAUAAGGAACUUCACAUACUUAUGCUGAGCAAUGAGAGAGAUAUUUUGAGAAACCUGAAAAAAUAAGAGAACUUUGAGUUUUCAGUGCUCUGGAAAUGGCAAAAAGGAAUCCCGCCAUGGACGACCUGCUCCUUGCUCCAGCCUGGCCAGUGCUUUGAAGUGAUAACACCAAGAGUUGCUGUUUAGGAAGGCAAGGAAGAAACAUCAGUGUCUCGUCUAGCCUCAGAAAAAAACGACUUCCUAUUUUUACUACUGUUAUGAAUCCCUCACUCAUGGACACCUUUGUGACGUGACUUCCAAGUUGCUAUUCUAUUUUCUGGCUGGAACCUGCAAACUCCAAUCUGGAAGUAUAUCUCUUUAGGGAAAGGGAAGGAAGACCAGAACCAGUGUUUAUUAAAUACCUACUAAA
ensembl:lncRNA novel transcript